UAAUAUAAAAAUAAAUUCAUUAAGAAACAGGGAUCAACAAUUCAAAUUUUUUUAAUAACAAAACAUAUCAAUAUAUUAGUUAGAAAAAGAAAUAGGAUGAAAAAUAUAUAGAGAAUACAUCAGAAACAUAUUGAUAUAUUAUUUCUUACUUUAUUUCAUUAUCAUCAUCUUAAAAUACAAAAUCCAUAAUUAAAAGGCCGUUUAAAAUAUAAGAAAAUUAAAAUUAUUGAAUGCCAAAACUAUAACUAACUCAUGGAAAUUUGCAUCAAGAGACUAUGUGAACAUCUCUCAACCACACACACAUGUCCCACUUCUAGAACCAGACGGAUUUUCCAACCAAAAACACUUGGGUUUUAAAAAAAACGGGCACAUAGAUUUUGGACAAUGAGAAUGGUGAGUACAAUCUUUAACAGCUGAAAUGAAAAAUAAAAAUAAAAAUAAAAUGAGUAAAAUGAGUAAAAUAAUAUUAUAUAAAAGUAAAUAAAGAAAUUUUAAAUAAUAAAAAAUGGCUUACUUUCAUCGUUCAUUGUAACAAGAAUUAGACAAAGAAAGAUGAUAAUAACGUAAACAAAUUUGACAACUUCAACCAUAUUUCUCCUCUUUGCAUGCAAAUUAAAUUGUGUAGUUUUAUCACUCUAUAAAGUUCAUUCCCUUCUUACAUACACUAAAUAGGUUUUAGUGCUUUUAAAGUGCCUUCUUAAAGUUAGAGUCAUAUUAUUAUAUGGCUUUUUAGUUUAUCUAAGUGGUGUGCUUGUCUCUUUAGCAUAAAGAGGCCACAUAAAAAAAGUUAACAAUCAUUUUUAUUUUAUACACAUUUUCUAUUAUUAGUAGAAAAGAGACAAUAAAGAAAGAGAAAUAAUAUUUUUGAAUUUUAUGUAAGCCGUAGGCUAUACCAAAACUAUAGCUAUUUAUAUGAUACAUUUCAAACUUAUUAACAAAUCCUAAAGCGAUCAUGAAAGGUUUAUGAUUGAGAAUAAAUAUAUUUGGAUGGAUGGAAAGGCAUUAAGAGAUAAGUUGGUUCAAAAGGCAAUACAUUUAAUAAUUUUCUAGAUUUACAAAAGAAUAUUUAAUUUUCAAAUUAAGAAGGUUUAUGAUCUUGGUGUGUUAUCUAGGGAUGAAAUUGAGACUAGAUCCAAAGCAAUAGGAGAUGUGUUGUCCAUCCUUAAGAUGAACUCCCAAGUGAUGUAAAUUCUAGUUCUCUCAUGCUUCUUUGAAGGUCAAGAGUAUAUUUUUAGCAUUAAAGGUUGGUGACACUAUCACGAAAAACACUUUUUAUCUUGCUUAGAAAUGGGGUUAAUCUCAGUUUCAUAUGCGAGGUAACAAUCGUCAAUACAAAAUGUGCGUCAUUUUUUCCUCAGUAAAAAUUCCACCAAGAAAAAAGAAUUAAUGAUCAUAGGUUCGAUUCACAGUAAUAACACUUUUCAUAAUUUUCAAAAUUGGAUACCGCAUUCCACUUUUUCCAUUGUUUAUAAGAAACACCGAGGUAAUAGUCUUACUACCUCGGUUUAUCAAAAUAACUUAGGGAAAAUCAUUGUUAUUAUUAUUAUUAUUUUAAUUUUUCUAUAUUUUGUUUUAACUUGUAUAACAAAACACGUUUUUCCCAUUUAUGGAAUAAAAAUAUUAUACCUUUUGCCCACUUCUAAAAUAGAAAUAUUGUACAAAAAAAAUCAUCGUUUACACCAAUUGCAAAUUUAAAAUGGCAUACACCUUCUUUUUCACAACAAAACUAAAAUAAAUGAUUAACCAACAAAAAAAAAUAAGAAAUUUAAUUCUUGAACGGUCGUCCAAAAGUUUUCUUUUGUGAGUUUGUAGCUGAUCGUUAAACACCUAUAAUUUGUACCACAUUUGAAACGAAUUAUGAUAAUUAACAACUACAAUAUUAAAAUUUUAAACCAUUGAUCUCAUCAGCAGCAGUAGCAACAACAACAACGUUCAAACUUCAAUAUCAACAACAUGUACCAAUCACUACAACUAACAUAAAUAAUUUAUAAUCAUAUAUGAAUGUCACAAAGAAAAAAACUUACUUUAGGGGUUUCUAAUAUUCUGACUUUUACUUCUAAAACCAUGCAACAUAUGAUAUCUUUCGCAUCUCUAUAUGUUCGGAAAAAAAUAAAUGUUAGUAAAACGAAGACAAAUGUAAAAUGAAUAAAUAUAUAUUACUAAGUCAUAAAAUAUUUACUUACUGAUUCUCUCAUAUCCCCUAUUGAUUAUU
rnacentral:lncRNA from 1 species